rnacentral:rRNA from 1 species
GACGAACGCUGGCGGCGCGCUUAACACAUGCAAGUCGAGCGAGAACCGGGCCUUCGGGCCCGGGGACAGCGGCGAACGGGUGAGUAACACGUGGGUAACCUGCCCUCGGCACCGGGAUAGCUCGGGGAAACCCGGAUUAAUACCGGACGGUCUCCGGAGCCUUCGAGCGCCGGAGAAAAGGUGGCUUCGGCUUCCGGCCGAGGAUGGGCCUGCGGCGGAUUAGCUUGUUGGUGGGGUAACGGCUCACCAAGGCGACGAUCCGUAGCUGGUCUGAGAGGACGAUCAGCCACACUGGGACGGGGACACGGCCCAGACUCCUACGGGAGGCAGCAGUGGGGAAUCUUGCGCAAUGGGCGAAAGCCUGACGCAGCGACGCCGCGUGCGGGAAGAAGGCCUUCGGGUUGUAAACCGCUUUCAGGAGGGACGAAGCCGCUCGGGUUAAUAGCCCAGAGGGUGACGGUACCUCCAGAAGAAGCCCCGGCUAACUACGUGCCAGCCGCCGCAGUAAUAC